AACGAACGCUGGCGGCAUGCCUAACACAUGCAAGUCGAACGAGACCUUCGGGUCUAGUGGCGCACGGGUGCGUAACGCGUGGGAACCUGCACUUAGGUUCGGAAUAACUCCCCGACAGGGGUGCUAAUACCGGAUAAUGUCUUCGGACCAAAGAUUUAUCGCCUUUGGAUGGGCCCGCGUUGGAUUAGCUAGUUGGUAGGGUAAAAGCCUACCAAGGCGACGAUCCAUAGCUGGGCUGAGAGGAUGAUCAGCCACACUGGGACUGAGACACGGCCCAGACUCCUACGGGAGGCAGCAGAGGGUAAUAUUGGAAAGUGGGCGAAGGCCUGAUCCAGCAAUGCCGCGUGAGUGAUGAAGGCCGUAAGGUUGUAAAGCGCUUUUACCCGUGAUGAUAAUGACAGUACCGGGAGAAUAAGCUCCGGCUAACUCCGUG
rnacentral:rRNA from 1 species